rnacentral:rRNA from 1 species
GACGAACGCUGGCGGCGUGCUUAACACAUGCAAGUCGAGCGGUAAGGCCCUUUCGGGGGUACACGAGCGGCGAACGGGUGAGUAACACGUGGGUGACCUGCCCUCAGCUCUGGGAUAAGCCUGGGAAACCGGGUCUAAUACUGGAUAUGACUCCAUGACGCAUGUUGUGGGGUGGAAAGCCUUGUGCGGCUGAGGAUGGGCCCGCGGCCUAUCAGCCUGUUGGUGGGGUGANGGCCUACCAAGGCGACGACGGGUAGCCGGCCUGAGAGGGCGACCGGCCACACUGGGACUGAGACACGGCCCAGACUCCUACGGGAGGCAGCAGGUGGGGAAUCUUGCGCAAUGGGCGAAAGCCUGACGCAGCGACGCCGCGUGAGGGAUGAC